rnacentral:rRNA from 1 species
UACGUAGGGGCAAGCGUUAUCCGGAAUUACUGGGUGUAAAGGGUGAGUAGGCGGCAUGGUAAGCCAGAUGUGAAAGCCUUGGGCUUAACCCGAGGAUUGCAUUUGGAACUAUCAAGCUAGAGUACAGGAGAGGAAAGCGGAAUUCCUAGUGUAGCGGUGAAAUGCGUAGAUAUUAGGAAGAACACCAGUGGCGAAGGCGGCUUUCUGGACUGAAACUGACGCUGAGGCACGAAAGCGUGGGGAGCGAACAGG